rnacentral:lncRNA from 1 species
GUCAGCCCCCCUGCCCGGCCAGCCGCCCCGUCCGGGAGGUGAGGGGCGCCUCUGCCCGGCCGCCCCUACUGGGAAGUGAGGAGCCCCUCUGCCCGGCCACCACCCCGUCUGGGAGGUGUGCCCAACAGCUCAUUGAGAACGGGCCAGGAUGACAAUGGCGGCUUUGUGGAAUAGAAAGGCGGGAAAGGUGGGGAAAAGAUUGAGAAAUCGGAUGGUUGCCGUGUCUGUGUAGAAAGAAGUAGACAUGGGAGACUUUUCAUUUUGUUCUGCACUAAGAAAAAUUCCUCUGCCUUGGGAUCCUGUUGAUCUGUGACCUUACCCCCAACCCUGUGCUCUCUGAAACAUGUGCUGUGUUGUCCACUCAGGAUUAAAUGGAUUAAGGGCGGUGCAAAAAAAAAAAAAAAAGAAAUUUAGCAUUUAAUUUUAAGCAGAAACUCUGCCCUCAAACCUUAUUAAUCAGACUAUGACAGGAGUAAAACACAAGAAUGGUGUUCAACAUUCUUGUGAAUGAUUCUUUCUUUUCUCAUCCAAGAUUGAUGAGAAAAACCUCCACCCAAGGUAUCAAAAGUUUAAUACUGAUUCUGUUCUCCUCUCUUUUGAAUACAUAAACUAGCUAGAUGACAAUAUCAUUCCACUUUUUACUAUUAUCUGUCAGCUGUCAAUUACAACAACAACCCCAAAAAAAUUAAAUCUUGACAGACAUCAUUGUUUCAGAUGCCUCUGGAAGAGAGAGGAGAGGGAAAAAAAAAUUGUUGGAAAGUUCUUUACAGCCCUGUGAGACUAAGUAAAAGAGACCUUAUCAUUAUUCAAAAGGUAGAGUUCUGGAGAAAACAAAGACCUAAAAUAAAUUAACCUAGACAGAAGAAAAAGACUUGGGUGAUUUAGUAGCAGUACUGCCCUCAGUGACUCAAUGUUUGCAAUAAGGAAUGGGUAGUAUCAGCUUUCCUGAUACAUAAAAUAUCACUUGUAUUAUUUCCUCUUCAAUGAGCAAAGAGAAGUAAUAACCUGGCAUCACAAAGAAAAAUAAAUUAUCCACAUAGUAACUUUCUGAUAAACUCUUGGCUGUCCAGCAGAAGGCCCAGCUGGGAAGAAAGUGCUGUGGACUACAGCUUGGCUCCAUCCCACGCCAGCCCUCUGACCCUGGGGCUGGAUCGUCUCUGGAUGAGGGGGUUGCUCAGAAUUAUCCCACUUGGGCUUUUUAUGGCAGUAUAUUCAUACCUUGGUAUACCACACACAGCAAUGGAAAAGAAACUACAGACUACACAGAACAUGGAUGAAUUUCACAGACAUCACAAUGAGCUGAAGAAGCCAGAUACAAAAAGAAAAAAAAAAAAGCACCGUAUGACUCCAUUUAUAUGGAUCUUAAAAACAGAAAAAAUGAAUCUAUGGGACUAAAGAUCAGAAUACUGGUUAUCCUUGGGAGUGUAGGGGGAGUGCUGAUUGGGAGAAAGCACAGCAGAGCUUUUCGGGUACUAAGGACUGAACUGUAUUCUCUCAGAAUUCCUGUGUUGAAGCCCUACCCCACAAUGUGAUGCUAUUUGGAGAUGGGGUCUUUGGGAAGUAAUUAGACUCAGAUGAGGUGACGUGGGUGGGGUCUUCAGGAUGGGAUAAGUGCCCUUAGACACACCAGAAAGCUUGCUUUCCUCCACCUACCUCUCCCCACACAUACACAUCAAAGAAAGGUCUUGACUACACACUGAGCAGCGAGGAAGAGGGCCCUCACCAGAACCCAACUAUGCUGGCAUCCUGAUCUCGGACUUCCAGCCUCCAAAACUGUGAGGAAAUAAAUUUCUGUUUAAGCCAGAACAACAGAUAUUUUGAUAUUUUAUUAUGGUGAUCUGAGCUGACCAAAGUACCAGAAAUGCUUUAUAUUUCAAUAUGGACAGUGGUCACAUAAGUGAAUAAAUGUGUAAAAAUUCCCUAAGCUGUAUACUUAAGGUUGACUCACAGUUUUUUAGAAGGAAUAGCAAGAAACAAAGCACUGACUUAGCAAGAAACAACCUAGCAUUACCAAGGUGAGAGUUGGGAGACUUUUCUACUUUUCAUUUGAUUCCCUUGUCAGGGCAAAUUCUUUUCCAUGAGUAUAUGUGAUCUUACAUAAUUUUUAAUAACUUGUUAAUUUUAAUAUUGCUCUAAAUUCCCUACUUCACAGUGUGUGUCUCACCACUGCCCUUGAAGACUCAAUGGCAAUGACUGUCAAAUCCACACCUGCCCCCGUGCACUCAAACUCCAACCGUGAGUUUCCAGGCACCACUGGUGCAUCUCCUCUCAAGCACAUAACUGUCACACCCACCAUGUCUCCAAAUGCAGUUAUCCACCCCCAACUCCUCCUCCGCCUCUGCCCCUGGCUUCUGUCUCCCAGGUUCUAACUCACCCUGUUCCUUUGCAUCUCUGUGUUACCUCAGAUUGUUUACUUACAGGUGUCCCUCCACUCUCAGACUCAGAAACCAAACACAUGUAGAUACAUUUUUCCAUAGCAAGCAGGCAGGUAUUCCUCAUUAUCCAAACUAUUGCUACUCUCUAACUAAAACUCAGGAAACGAAAUACUACAGACUCAGAUAACAUGAUAUUCCUCACUCUCCAAACUCUCAUUACCGAAACAGAUUAUUUAUUUAUUUAUUUUUGAGAUGGAAUCUCGCUUUGUUGCCCAGGCUGGAGUGCAAUAGCGUGAUCUCAGCUCACUGCAACCUCCACCUCCCGGUUUCAAGCAAUUCUCCUGCUGACUCAGUCUCCUGGGUAGCUGGGAUUACAGGCACGUGCCAUCACGCCAGGGUAAUUUUUGUAUUUUUAGUAGAGAUGGUGUUUCACCAUGUUGGCUAGGCUGGUCUUGAACUCCUGACCUCAGGUGAUCUGCCUGCCUCAGCCUCCCAAAGUGCUGGCCUUACAGGCGUGAGCCACUGCACCCAGCUCCUAAACAGAUUUAAAUAGCAUGGGGUAUUUAUAUUUUUGCAACAUCCUCUAACUAUUGCUUUCAUCCCCAUCACUACCACCUAAGGCCAGACCUUCAUUCCUUUAAGUCUAAGUCCUUCUUACAUGCUAGAACAUGGGCUUCCUCCUCCUAGCCCUGCCCCCAACUCUAUGCACCCUACUCUCUGUGGCCACCUCUAGCUUCCUUUUUUUUUUUUUUUGAGACGGAGUUUCACUUUUGUCCCCCAGGCUGGAGUGCAAUGAUGAGAUCUCAGCUCACUGCAACUUCCACCUCCCAGGUUCAAGCGAUUCUCCUGCCUCAGCCUCCCGAGUAACUGGGAUAACAGGCACGCACCACCAUGCCCAGCUAAUUUUUGGGGUUUCACCAUGUUUGCCACGCUGGUCUCGAACUCCUGACCUCAAGUGAUCCGCUCGCCUUGGCCUCCCAAAGUGCUAGGAAUACAGGCGAGGGCCACUGCGCCCGACCCCAUCUCUCUUUCUGACACGGCUGUUGCCCCUGCUCAAAAAACCUCACUGGCUCCCAUUCACAGGGAUCCAUCCAGGUGAGUCACUGCUUUUAACUUUCUACCUCCCAGAAUAAACCUUGUGUACCAGUCACUUGAUUUACUUGGUCCCUGACUAUCCUUGCACAUGUCCUGCUCUGUGCCAUUUUUCCCAAAAAGAAACACCUACCCAACCUUCCACUGCAGCCCUGAGCUCCAGCCAGCUCCUUCACUCUUUAGCUCGAUGACUUUGGGCAAAUUAAUUACUCUCUCUGGGCCUCAUCUGUGAAAUGGAAAAAUAACUGCAUCUCCCUCACCUGUCACAAAGUAACCACUCAAUAAACAUUAGCUAUCAUUAUUACCACCAACUCAAGUCCUACCUACCAAAUGGUCUUCCUCAAUACACAUUACCUACAGAAAGUUUCCCUCAUCUAAAUUCCUUUUACUCCAUUCAUUUAUUUGCCCGACAUCAUCUCCUGAGCUCUGUCUGUGUAUGAGUCCCCACUAUGGGCUUUAUUUGUAUAAUCUAAUGUCAUCCUCACAGCAGACCUCUGGUGUCCAAAGGGACCAACUGGUACACAGGUUUUUCAGCAGGGCAACAGCCGUGUCAGAAAGAUAGAGAUGGGCACAGACAGUAGGGUGCAUGGAGUGGGAGGGGUUAGGGGGAGGAAGGCCGUAUUCUAGCAUCUAACAAAGACUUGGACCUUCCCCAUCUUCCUCAUUUCAGUAAAUAGUAUCUUCAUGCUAGAAGUUGCUCAGGUCUAAAACCGUGGCAUUGUCCUUGACUUCUUUUCUCCUCUUAUACCCUACAUUAGCAAUUCAUUUCUACACUACAUUUAUUCAUAUAUACAUGAGUCAGACCCACUUUUUGUCUCUUCUACCACUAUCAUCCUGGUGCAAGCCACUCUCAUGUGUCACAUCUGGGUGAUAUAGUAGCUUCCUGUCUCCCUGUUCUUACUUUGUCCCCUCCCACUUCCCAGUCUGUUCUCCACACCACACUGGGAAGGAUCCUCUAAAGGGGCUCAAACCUUCAAUAGCCCCCGUCACUCACAGGCUGAGAUCCAAAGUCCUUACCCUGUGCUGUGAGGCCUACAUGACUGUCCCCGACCCAACUCCUUCUGUUACCACUCUUCCCCAGGAUUAUGUACUUUGGUCCUAUGGCCUUCCACUCUUCUUCAAAUAUGCUAAAUACACUGCUGACUUGGGCUUUCAGUCACUGUUUCCUCUGCAUCUGCAGGAAUAUUCUCCUCCAAAAUACCUACCUAGCUAACCCCCUUAAUUCCUUCAAAUCUCUGCUCAAAGGUUUCCUUUUUAAAGAAGCUUCUCAGCACACCCCAGCUAAAGCAGCCCCACCGUCCACUCUACCACAUUUCUGUUUUACCUCGUUGGUAGUAUGUUAUCAAUUUCUGGCAUCACAUGCCUACCUGUUUGUUCAUUUAUUGUCUGUCUCCUAACAGGCUCCUUGAGUCUGGGAACCUUGUCUGGUCUGUCCACAGCCCCAUUCCCAGUACACUGAACAACAGCACCUAAUGCUCAAUAAAUAUGUGUUAAAUGAAUGAAGGAAGGAAGAGAAGACUAUAACUUUGGUGUACCUAACAGAUCAAUGUAGGAAUUUUUGGCAAGGUUUGAGAAAGUUUCUUCUGGCUUUUAGCAACUGUGUAUGGGGGAUCUAGCUGUUUGAGGACACAGUUGAAGCUAUAAAAAAGUAUAAAGCUAUAAAAUAUUUCAAACGUUAUGUUAUUCAGGGGAGAAGAGAUGGAGGUAUUAACAGACAUUAAUACAAGGCAAAUAAGUGAGCUAGGAGGACUCUAAUCUAUCAAAACAAAGGGGAUUCUCAUAUCUCUAUGUCCAGCCCAACUCUUUUCCCAAGCCAGUAUUUCCAACUGUCCACCUAAUACCUACACCUGGAUGACUCAUGGGUGCCUCAAACUACACAUGUCCCAAAUCAGACUCAUCACUUCUCUCUCCUUAGCCACUGCCACCACCAAUGCUUCCUUCUCGUGGGUUCCCAGUCUCUUUUCGUAAAACAAUUAGCACACAGUCAGGUAAGCCAGGAACCACCUUCAAGUCACCCCAGCGCCCCUUUCACCUCCUCAACACUCAGCCAAUCUCAAGCUCUACUUCUCAAACCUUUUGCAAAGUCAUACCCUCAUCUCUCGCCCCUUCUCUGACUUGCACGCCGACUAAGCCUUCUUGUUCCUCCAAUCAACCUCCCCAUGGUCAGGGAGGUCUUUCUGAAAUGCUUUCCUGCCUUAAGUCCAUCAGGGACACCUUCCAUCCCCUACAGAAUAAGAUGCUCAUGUUUUGACAGAGCUAUAAAGGGUGCUCUCCAUAGAACAGACACUGCCACCCUUACUAUCCUCAUCCCUCGCUGCCUUCCCCCAAUUAUAUACCCUAGCAAUUCUCUAUUCUUUGGGGUGCCUGUUUCCUCCCUUCAUACUCCUGUACAUGCUAAGUACACACUCUCUAUAACACAUCCCCAACCCUAUCUUGUCACAUGGGGAACUCCUAUGUAUGCUGCAGCCAGCUGGGAAAGUCCCACCUAUGCCAACCCCUCCCACACUACUCUGAAUCUUCUAUACUGUUCUUCCCUAGUGCAGCAGUUGUGAUUAUUUCAUCACACAUAUGUCUCCCUCUCUAGUGGCAAAUUUCCUAUAGGGUAAGGUCCACAGAUGCUCAACUCUGAGUCCUCAGCAUUAAGUCUGGCACAUAACAGGAUCAGAUACAUAUUUGUUGAAUUAAAGUGACCUGUUCCCUGAACACACCAGUGAAAGAUCUUCCCUCUAACUCCAUAUUCUUUAAAUAAACUUUUUCAUGAGGAGUGGGCCCUCUCACCUUCGGAUCUUUGCUCCAACCUGUCCCCCUCCUUGGCACAUCCAUCUUUCUGUCAACCUUAUUUUCUACAUCAGUCUAUGAAGAGGCUGGUUCAGACCCUCAGGCUCACCACAUCUCCAGCUGUUCACACUGCACGGUCUUUGCACCUGCUCUACCCACUACCAGCAAUGCUCUCAGAUAGUCCCAUGACCUGCUCAUUCAUUUCAAGCAGGUCUCUAUUCAAAUAUCCCUGUCCUCCUUUAAGAAACAGCCCUGACAUCACACUUCCUAUCUGUGCUUUUAUUGCUAGUGGUACCCUCCACAGGCUUAUCAGUUCAAUGAGGGCAGGCCUGUCUCAUUCACCACUGCAUCCCCAUGCCUGCAAGAGUGCCAGUAACAUUCAUCUAGUUCAUAUUUUUUGAGCACCUACUGUGUGCCAGACCUAGGUGCUAGGAACACAUCAGUGAACAAAACAGAUAAAAAUCCCCUCACUCACAUUCUACAGGGGGAAGACAACAAUACACAAGAAAAAUACGUGAAAUAUAAGUGCUAAGAACAACUAAAGCAAUGAAGGGAGGCGGGAAAUGGGGAAAGCCUCACUAGGUGCCUCCCUAGUGAAGACCUGGAAGAAGUGAGUGCAAACUACAUGGAUAUUAACUUGCAAGCACAAAUGCCCUGAGGCUAAAGCAUGUCUGACGUUUGGAAAGGGAGGGAGCAGAAAAUGAGACUGGGAAAGUAACAGUGGGUCAGAUUAUGUAAAGCCUUAUAGCUCACUGUAAAGGGGUUUGUCUAUCAUUAUUAAUGAGAUGGGGACCCAUUGGAGGGUUUUUUUUUUCUUUUAAGUAAAGGAAUGAUACGAUCUGACAGCCUGUGUUUUAAAAAGAUCCCUCUAGCUGCUGUGCAAAAAACAGGGGCCAGGACAGAAGCAGGAAGACCAAAUGGGAAACUAUUUCAAUAAUCCAAACCAGAGGUGGUGACCUGGCCCAGGGUGGCAAGUAUUAUUUGUGGCGUGAAAAACAGAAGACUGGGUGUGGUGGCCCACACCUGUAAUUCCAACACUUUUGUGGGAGGCCGAAAUGGGCGGAUCACUUGAGGCCAGGAGUUCAAGACCAGCCUGGCCAACAUGGUGAAAUCCCGUCUCUACUAAAAAUACAAAAAUUAGCCAGGUGAGGUGGUACACGCCUGUAAUCCCAGCUACUUGGGAGGCCGAAGUAGGAGAAUCACUUGAGCCUGGGAGGCAGAGGUUGCAGUCACACGAUGACACGAGAUCGCACCACUGCACUCCAGACUGAGCGACCGAGGGAGACUGUCUCAAAAGAAAAAAAAAAAAAGGAAAGAAAAGAAAAAGAAAGACAGCAGUCAACGAUGGCUCAAAAGUUAUUAGCCAAGGUCUUUCCUAUUAUUGAGAUGAGAAAAAAGAGGCAACAGGAGCAGUUUGGGGAGAGUAAUGAAGGGGAGCUUGCUAGCCCUCUCUUGGCAUGUUUAAUUUGAGUUGCCUAUAACCCAUCUCAGUGGAGAUAUUAAGUGGGUGGCUGGAUAAAAGUCAGGGGUGAGACCUGCGAUGGAGAUAUAAAUACGGAAUCUGUUAGCCUCUGAUAUGUAUGUAUUUAAUGCUAUGAAAUCACCAUCAAUGAAAAUAAAAAUAUUGCAAACACAAAUGCACAAAGGAGAAUUUAAAGAAAAAAAAAUAAAGAAGAAAAGCUAGGAUGACCGAGGAUACCCUCCCACAUACCCUGGAAAGAAUACAAAAAGGUGACCCUCGCUUUUGCUGAAAGACAACUCGGUCAAAAUAAAAAUUAAAUAAAUAAAACCUCCUUCCCACGUCUGGCAGAAGGGCAAAUCCAGACCAGAGGCUCUGUCAACGUGUCUUUCAUACUUUCACCAAGGACCCAUGGGGUCGGCCCCAUAAUUUUUUCAAAAGAAACCCAGUGAACUUGGGCAUCGCCUCUGCAGGGAACGGGAUGGAGUAAGCACAGAGAAGGGUGGGCCACCCCUGGGUUCCAAUCACCAGCAUCCUCCUGGAUGUACAAAAGGUAAGCCAAGGGUUGGGAUAAGUUCCCCUCGCCCCAAAGACCCCUUCCCUCGCAGAGCAACGCCUCCCUACAGGGUGUGUCCACGAGGGGUAGGCAAGCAGGCAGGGCACGGUCAGGAAGGUAAGCAGGCGGGGCGUUGUGGCGCAGGCUUAGGCAGGGUGGGCUCGCGGGGCACGAGGUGGAGGUGAGGGCAGGGGCGUGGCGCGAGGGCACCACAGUGGGGAAGGGGGAGUCGGGAGGCCUAGGUUCUGCAUUCAGAAAGUGGACGAAUGAAAGGCACCCCCAGGGAUGCAGCCCGACUCCAAGCCUCGGGGGCGGCUCGACAAGGCGUUGUGUCGCCGGCGUCAGGCGUGCCCGGCUGCCAUGAGGAGAACGGGAAGUAUGAGCGGCGGGGUUCCGAGCGUGGGGACGGCGCUCCACCCAGUCACGGGGUCCUGGGUUCAAGGACAAGCCCAGGGUCGCAAGGACGCGACCAGACACACCCU